rnacentral:rRNA from 1 species
AUUGAACGCUGGCGGCAGGCCUAACACAUGCAAGUCGAGCGAGCGGCGGACGGGUGAGUAUGUCUGGGGAACUGCCUUAUGGAGGGGGAUAACUACUGGAAACGGUAGCUAAUACCGCAUACCAUCAGAUGUGCCCCGAUGGGACUAGCUUGUUGGUGGGGUAAUGGCUCACCGGGGCGACGAUCCCUAGCUGGUUUGAGAGGAUGACCAGCCACACUGGAACUGAGACACGGUCCAUACUCCUACGGGAGGCAGCAGUGGGGAAUAUUGCACAAUGGGCGCAAGCCUGAUGCAGCCAUGCCGCGUGUAAGAAGGAGGCCUUCGGGUGGUAAAGUACUUUCAGCGGGGAGGCGUUACCCGCAGAAGAAGCACCGGCUAACUCCGUGCCAGCAGCCGCGGUAAUAC